rnacentral:tRNA from 1 species
CGGGGCGUGGCGCAGCUUGGCAGCGCGCCUGCUUUGGGAGCAGGAGGUCGCCGGUUCAAAUCCGGCCGCCCCGACCA